AUUAAAGCCACACCGCUUAGGAAGAAUCAGGAAGGUGUCCUGAGAGAUCACACGUAUGGGAGAGGAAUCUCACCUUUGUAAGAGCCGUUGGGAAGAGAAGGGGUGCAGCCCCCGCGCACCGAUUAGAACACGUGGCUGGUGCAUGAACCCUGAAACGAGGAGUGAAUGAAGGCAGGAAUUACUGGAAGGGAGGUCAGGGUAAGUCAUGUCAUAUUUAUUUCUUAUUUUUGAAGUGUGCAGAAUACAUUGUGGUAAACUCAUUCAGGAACUCUCCGGGGCUCGUGUCUCCGAUAAAAUUAGACAAAUUGAGUCUUUCAGGGGAAAAUAAAACGCUUGCUAUAGCCGUGCUAUGCAGAAAUACGCCACUUGUCCCUGACAUGUUGAGACCCUAGUUUUUCCGCUGCCAGCCACCCUGC